rnacentral:rRNA from 1 species
GUCGAGCGGACGGAUGGGAGCUUGCUCCCUGAAGUCAGCGGCGGACGGCUGAGUAACACGUGGGCAACCUGCCUGUAAGACUGGGAUAACUCCGGGAAACCGGGGCUAAUACCGGAUAAUUCUUCCCUUCACAUGAGGGGGAGCUGAAAGAUGGUUUCGGCUAUCACUUACAGAUGGGCCCGCGGCGCAUUAGCUAGUUGGUGAGGUAACGGCUCACCAAGGCGACGAUGCGUAGCCGACCUGAGAGGGUGAUCGGCCACACUGGGACUGAGACACGGCCCAGACUCCUACGGGAGGCAGCAGUAGGGAAUCUUCCGCAAUGGACGAAAGUCUGACGGAGCAACGCCGCGUGAGUGAUGAAGGUUUUCGGAUCGUAAAACUCUGUUGUCAGGGAAGAACAAGUGCCGGAGUAACUGCCGGCACCUUGACGGUACCUGGCCAGAAAGCCACGGCUAACUACGUGCCAGCAGCCGCGGUAAUACGUAGGUGGCAAGCGUUGUCCGGAAUUAUUGGGCGUAAAGCGCGCGCAGGCGGUUCCUUAAGUCUGAUGUGAAAGCCCACGGCUCAACCGUGGAGGGUCAUUGGAAACUGGGGAACUUGAGUGCAGAAGAGGAGAGUGGAAUUCCACGUGUAGCGGUGAAAUGCGUAGAGAUGUGGAGGAACACCAGUGGCGAAGGCGACUCUCUGGUCUGUAACUGACGCUGAGGCGCGAAAGC